UCUUAGCGCAAAGAGUUGCUCCCAGAAAAUUCUUAGAAAUAUGGGCGUUUCCCCUUAAAGAAAAGAUCCUAAUAAUGAAAAAAGUAUUUUAUGAAGCAUAUAGACUGGAAAUCCGGUUGUUUUGUUAAAAGACCGACAGCGGUGAACAAGAGAAUUGAAAUAUGUGAAAUAUAAAGCGUUUUUUUUUUAUUAGAAACAUGAACAUCCAUUGUUAAACACCCAAAAAAACAUAAUAAAAGUCUCAAAAACUUGUGUGAACUCUGUGAACGGGAGCCUGUGUGAAUGACCAAGUGAGCAAGCUAGACAUAAACCUUUCAAUACUGGCUAUUUAACAGAAUGAUAUCUGGUCUAUUUAACCAAACAUAUGCUAUCUCUCCAGCAAAUCACAGUGUAAAGCAGUGUCGUAUACCCUGAGAACUCCUCUCGUCCUCUCGAGUGCACUAGCGGGAUCUCGGAGUGUAUGUGGUGCAAUAACAUGAGGCAAUGCGUGGACUCAAACGCCUAUGUGGCGUCUUUCCCCUACGGCCAGUGCAUGGAGUGGCACACCAUGAACAGCUGUCCAUGUACGUCCAUCUCUCAUUGUGUGCCUCUGAUGUUUAUCACUUUAUAAAUUAGCAUGUCUUCUGUUUACUGUCUUGUAAUUCACUGAGACCAUCAUUUCACACUCUUUUCCCAACUGACAUAUAAUCAAUUUAAAAGAAAAUAAUAAACAGAGCUGUAGAACACCAGGGCCCUCUCCACCGUGGCGUACCGAGUUUCUGCUGGGGUAAGCUUACGGCUAAUGUACACCACGGGAUGUUCCGUUCCGUUUCUGUUCUGGGACAGUAUGGCCCCCAGUCCAGUGUCUGAUGCGUCUGUCUGGAGGGUGAAAGGGCAGCCAAAGUCUGGAGUGUGUAGGACCGGGGAUUAUGUCAGUGCUUCCUUCAGGGUCUGGAAUGCUCGUUCAGUCUCAGGGUUCCACUUUACGUUUACGUCACACCCGCGUUGGUUCAUUGUGUAUGUUUGUUCACCCUAUUGCCUUGUCCGUGUCUUCUGAAAAAGACUGUGUUCUUGAAUUAUUUUUGGAUUUUCACCUAGUUUGCUUUGUCCCCCUUGUGGGAAGUUUUUCUUUGUUUGUGUAUUUAAAUUCUCUGUUUUGCCCCAUUGUGGGUUUUUGUUUUAUUAAUGAAAGUCUCUUUGUUACCCCAUGUCUGCCUGCGCUUGGGUUCUGUCCUAUUUCAUGACAUAGAUUACCAGUUUACCUUCAGUCUGUCUCAGGAGGAGGACAGCUACUACACCGCCAUCAACUUUGUGUCGACUCCUGAUGAGGUGUGGUCAUGCUGAAUUUUCUAUACUCUUACAGGGGUCUGAGUCUGGGGAACACUAAACAUGUUUUCCUUGCAAGAAGAUAAAUCAAGACUUGGUCAUGUUCAUCUAAACCCAUUAAUCUGAACAUCACAUGGGCAACCAGCUUUGUGGAUUGCUUUCACACAGCCAAGAAUCCUCAUGGGUCUGAUUUAAUCAGAUGAUGGUCAGGUGAUCAUCGCUGUAUCCUGUCCUUGAUUCUGGUGGUGGCAAUCGUGGAGAAGAUAAAAAAGAGCUGCAGGUACUGUGCAUGGAAAAGAGAAUCAGUGCUGAAGCAUCUUACCUUUAGCUAGCAAUCCAUUAUGAUUAUAAAUCCUCAUCAUAUCAAACCAUCAGUAUCUUAAAGUUGCCAAUCAAGAUGGAUUAUAUCAUUUUAAUUCCAAGUCGUAAUUUACAGACUAAAUGGAUAGAUUUGAAACGUUAUGCAAAAACUAAUGUGGAAAAUAAAACUACUGUACAAUUCAAACAAGUCAAAAACAUUACACAAUCUAAUUUUUUAAAGAUCUAACAAGAUACAUGGUUCAGCUGAACCUUCUGUAUGUGAAUUAAUAAAAGUUGAAUAGAUCUAUCAAACAGUAAAAGCACAAGAUAUAAAAAAAACAUUAAGGGGCAGUUUCCCGGACAGGUAUUAUUUUAGAUUAGGACUAGUCUUUAGUUAAAUUAGUAUAAAAAGUUGUUUUUAAAAACAUACUUUACAAAAAACCUCACUGGUGUGCAUUUUACGACAAAACAAUGACACUCAUAUAAUUAGUUAGUUAGUCUGGGACUAGGCUUAAAUCCUGUCCGGGAAACAUUUGAUAUGUUGUCGCAGGUCACAUGUUGGUAACCUGCAGUGCAGUUUGAGUCGAAAGUGAUCCUAAAAUUGUUUUUUAUUCAAUGUAUGUCAUUGUUUUAUUGUGUGUGUACUUUCUAUUCUAUUGUGUAAUAGUUUUGACAAACUGUACUGUGUGUGACCCCCUGUGUAAAAUGUGUGCUCUCUUAAUAAAGAUGAGAAUUAACUGAGCAGUA